CGAGUAAAUAAGGGAGCAACCCUACAAGAAAAACAAAGAAAGUUACUUGAUGACAAGUAGCAUUGCAAAAAUAUAAAUCCAUAAAAAGCUUUAACUUUUCGAUAACUAAUUGUUAUUCUUAAUUAUUGCAUUCUAAAAUUAAAACUUUACCUUUCGCCCCAAAUUGUUGAGAUAAACCUAUUACUUCAAUUAUAAAAUAAAAUAAAAUAAAACAAUAACAUAAAAGAUUAAAGAUUCAACCAAGGCAUGUCUAGUUCUAGUUCAAAACCUAACGCACCCUUUACUCAAGAACAAAUUCAUCAAUUCCUAGCUUCAGCACAACCACAUACUUUAAAUUUCUCUAAUCAUCAUUUCAAUUUCAUAGGUAUAAUUACUUAUUUUUCCUCUCAUUCUAGUAACCAUUGAAUUAUUGAUUCAAAUUGCACCAAUCACAUCACUAAUUGUUAGAUUUCUUAACCAAUGUUCAUGAUUACCAAAUGGAGAUCAAGUUCUUAUGACUCACCUUGGUUCUUGUAAAUUUAGUUCUUAAAUUCAUUUAGACAAUGUUCUUUAAGUUCCUUCCUUUAAAUUUAAUCUCUUAUUUCUUCGCAAAAUCAUUAAGGCACUUAAUUAUUUAAUUGAGUUCUUUCCUCAUUUUUUUAUGUUCAUGACUUUGUGGUGAUGAAGAAAGUGAUAGGUUUGGCUAUGGAUCAUGAAGCAUGACUUGUUUCUCUUCAGGAACGAACAGUCCUUGGUGAGCACAUAGCCCAAUUCAAUGAAAAGGUCUGUGACUUGUUACAUGUGGAUGUUAAGUUGAGUGAUGAAGAAAAACACUUAAUCCUUUUUUGCUCUCUACCACCACCAUUUGGGCACCCAACAACUAUAUUGAUAUUAGUAGGAGGAUCUAAAGUAUGAGAAGGUCACGAAAACAUUCAAAUGCUAUCAUAUAAUGCAAAAGUUAGAUUUAGAUAAUUCCAAGAGGGAUUGGUGAGCUAUGAACUUGUAAGUGGUAAAGAAAGGGAAAUCAGUCCAGGGGAAACUCUAAGUUAAGGUCCAAGUCAAAUGCCAAUAAGUGGAGUGUUUUAAGUGUCAUAAGAAGGGCCACUUCAAGAAAGAUUGCCUAAUGCUGAAGAACCAAGGAAAGGACGACUGGAAAGGUAGUUCUUUAAGUUUAGCAAGUAUAGUGUUAGAAACUUUAAAUGAAGAAGACUUGAUGGUGGUAUCUACAGUAAGAAAAGGUACAUACACUUCCACCUAGACCUUAGAUUUAGCUUAUUCUUCUCAUUAUACUACACAUAGAUACUAGUUUCGUAGAUAUGAAAAUUAUGAGGUUGCAAGUGUUAAGUUGAGUGAU
rnacentral:misc_RNA from 1 species